GCCCUCGCUCGGGCUGGGCCAGGGCGGCGAUUGCGUCCACAAUACCGUGCAUUCAUUACGCUCCUUAAAAACAGUGUUGUGUGUCUGGAGAACAGGAAGUGGCCGUAAGUCCCCCGUGUAAAAGCCAUCUGAAGCCACGGACCAGUUACUUGGAAGGAAUAAACACACCCCUGCACACCGAGGCACAGAAGCCUGGCCUUCCCAGCUCAGAGAGUCCUUGGUGGCAAUUUGAGAUGAAACGGCCGUGAUCGAAGAGAGAAAGUGGAGGCGAGGCUUAGCGUCCCACAGAGCAGAGGCCGCUGGUUCCCCGGGAUGGAGGGGCCAGGAGUGAAGACAGCCAUACCAGGCCUGAAUCGCCGGCUCAGGAGACAGAGGCCAGGGCCCAUAGGAGAGGAAGCUCCCGGGUAAGCUCUUCACAGUGCCUAGGCAUUCUGUCUUUGUGCUCCUACAAAACCAGGCUUAUGUUUGCAAAGCGUUGGGAGAAGUCGGAGUUCCCUGGGAACAUCGUGUAUACCAAACAGGGACGCCUUGGAGGAGGGCCCACAGGAUGGGAGAUCCCCAGGCAUCUCCCCAGAAAGCUGAGAAUUCAAAGAAGGACCGAGGCAGAUUUCUGAAUGUUUCCUUGCUCUGUCUUCUCAUCCACACUUUGUUCUGGGGUUGAGGAGGGUGUGGAGUUGGGAAUCCAACCCAAGGCUCCUGGCCUCUCUGCAGACCCCAGAGUCUGCUCAGGAAGCCACAAAACCAGUGCCCACACCAGCAUGUGCCACUCAGGAGAGGAGAAUUCAGGAGGAACGGAAGGCCUGCUCCCCACGGCUCGGCUCCAGGCCAUCUUCCUUCUUGAUGGGGACACCUCCUGCCUUGGAGAGAGGUGGGAACCAGCAUCUGGGAGACCCAGCUGGUGGGGCAACCAGUGAGGAUGGGGAAGUCAUGUUCAUUUGGCUCAUAGUGACAAGCCGGCCAUGGCAUAUACUCUGCUGCUUGCAACGAUUCCAGAGGCCAGCACGAUUCCUCCCUCCACCCCAGGUUUCGCCACAGAAAUGCCUGAUCUGCCCAAGGCCACCCUGCCAGGGACAGUGGUUACUGAUGUUGCCUGCUCUGCAUCCACCGUAGCACAGGGGGAAGGAUGCCUGCCCAAUCCAUGG
ensembl:lncRNA novel transcript